ACAGCCUUAUAGAAAUGGUCUGAUAUGACAGGCUGACUUGCAGUGCGUGCCCGCAUGCAUCUUGGCCUCUCUGUGGAAUUCCUUCCACCCGGCGGAGGCCAGACCUCCACUGUCUUAUGAUCUAUGCAGUCAAGUUCAGACAACAGGAUGUGAUGUGGAAAUUCGUCCCAGGUGAUAAAGAAGCUGGAAAUUCAGUCAACCUACCUGUUUUUCUGCGGAGCAAACCGGAUCUGCGCCUGCAGAUGCUGAGGUCCUGGGUCUGGCUAAGGGCUGAGGAGCCUGGGGUGAAGGAUUUAACUUCAACGUGUUGACUUCUGGAUGGCCAACCAGGUUUUCCCCUAGAAUACCCAGUGUGGCUUCCAUUCCUUCUUGCCUCAUUAAGAGGUGGUCACAGCAUCUCAGCGCAUCCUUGUUCUCGAGUCCCGCUUGGUGGGUUCCGGGUGCUGAACUUGUGCCUUCGGGCCUGGCAAGUGAGGAUGGAGGCUCCAUGACUCAAGAAGCAAAACAAAAAGCAAAUAAAACGUCCAAGGCACAGGAAGUUCCUGAAACUUACAAGGUUCACAACAAUUACUGAUGGAGAGACUCUUGUAGUGUGGCCUGCAAGUUGCUAGGGAGCUUAGCCUAUGCAGUUUUUCUGAGUCAUUGCCCCUGCUGGGGUGGGAUGUUUUAAAGAAGCAUGUGCCUUGGAGUCAUCAAUCCUCU